rnacentral:rRNA from 1 species
UACGAUGGGGGCUAGCGUUGCUCGGAAUCACUGGGCGUAAAGCGCACGUAGGCGGAUUUCUAAGUCGGAGGUGAAAGCCCAGGGCUCAACCCUGGAAUUGCCUUCGAUACUGGAAGUCUCGAGUUCGGAAGAGGUUGGUGGAACUGCGAGUGUAGAGGUGAAAUUCGUAGAUAUUCGCAAGAACACCAGUGGCGAAGGCGGCCAACUGGUCCGAUACUGACGCUGAGGUGCGAAAGCGUGGGGAGCAAACAGG